rnacentral:rRNA from 1 species
GAGCGGGUGUAGCAAUACACCAGCGGCAGACGGGUGAGUAACGCGUGGGAACGUACCUUUUGGUUCGGAACAACCCAGGGAAACUUGGGCUAAUACCGGAUAAGCCCUUACGGGGAAAGAUUUAUCGCCGAAAGAUCGGCCCGCGUCUGAUUAGCUAGUUGGUGAGGUAAUGGCCCACCAAGGCGACGAUCAGUAGCUGGUCUGAGAGGAUGAUCAGCCACAUUGGGACUGAGACACGGCCCAAACUCCUACGGGAGGCAGCAGUGGGGAAUAUUGGACAAUGGGCGCAAGCCUGAUCCAGCCAUGCCGCGUGAGUGAUGAAGGCCCUAGGGUUGUAAAGCUCUUUUGUGCGGGAAGAUAAUGACGGUACCGCAAGAAUAAGCCCCGGCUAACUUCGUG